UACGUAGGGUGCGAGCGUUAAUCGGAAUUACUGGGCGUAAAGCGUGCGUAGGCGGUUCGUUAGGUGCGUCGUGAAAGCCCCGGGCUCAACCUGGGAAUGGCGAUGGAAACUGGCGGGCUGGAGUAUGGCAGAGGGGGGUGGAAUUCCGCGUGUAGCAGUGAAAUGCGUAGAGAUGCGGAGGAACACCGAUGGCGAAGGCAGCCCCCUGGGCCAAUACUGACGCUCAGGCACGAAAGCGUGGGGAGCAAACAGG
rnacentral:rRNA from 1 species